UCUGCUGAUUGCCAGUUCCCACAACACAACUGGCCAAGAUUUCCAAACUGCUUUUGUCAAUGGAGAAAGGACAUCUUUCCAGCAUGCAGGGGAAAUCACUGGAUGAGAUUGAAAUUGAAGAUGAAAUUACAUUAAGUGAUGCUGAGGCCAGUGGGAGCGAAUCCGAUGACAGCGGCACAGCAGUGAACACGUCAGUGUGUGGAACCAACAACCACAGUGCAGGUUGAUGACACUGGAGAUUUUGGUAGGUUACCUCACUUCAUAGUUGUGUUUCUGUUUGAUAUAAUGCAUUUUUUUCUGUAAAACCCCACCCAAAAAACUGUCAAAUUAUGUGUUUAGCAGGACCAGUGUCAUCAGUGUUGUCCACAGUAAAUGAGACUGCCCCCUCUCCCUUUGAAGGAAAAGAUGCUGGUCAAGAACAUGGGUCCAGAAGAGUGCCAAAGAAAGUGUGGUCUAAGGCUGAGGUUGCCGCAGUAAUGCGGCAUUUCAGAGCUCACAUAUGUAAAAGGAAAACUGGCCACCAAAAAUGAAUGCGCUCACUGCAAGCUGGUAGAAGGCCCUGUGUUGGCACAAAAACUUUGUUAGAAACCGAGGAAUAGAUGCAAAGAGGCAGUCACUGAAACAAAAGCUG